GACGAACGCUGGCGGCGUGCUUAACACAUGCAAGUCGAACGGAAAGGCCCUGCUUUUGUGGGGUGCUCGAUUGGCGAACGGGUGAGUAACACGUGAGUAACCUGCCCUUGACUUUGUGAUAACUUCAGGAAACUGGGGCUCAUACCGGAUAGGAGCUCCUGCUGCAUGGUGGUGGUUGGAAAGAUUCGGCGGUUGGGGAUGGACUCGCGGCUUAUGCGCUUGUUUGUGUGGUAGGUGUUUACCAAGGCUUUGACGGGUAGCCGGCCUGAGAGGGUGACCGGCGACAUUGGGACUGAGAUACGGCGCAGACUGCUACGGGAGGCAGUAGUGGGGAACAUGGCACAAUGGGCGGAAGUGUGAUGCAGAAAUGCCGGGUGCGGGAUGACGGGUUUUGGGUGGUAAACCGCUUUCGAAUGUGCCGAAGCGUGAGUGACGGUACUGGGUCAAGAAGCACCGGCUAACUACGUG
rnacentral:rRNA from 1 species